rnacentral:lncRNA from 1 species
GGGAUACGUAUCACUUGCCAUGGACGAAACAGCUUCCUGAGCCUGUGCUGAGCCUGUGAGGGUUUUACCUGGCAUUCUGCAGAAGCAUUGCUGUAUCUUACCGGACAGGAACACAG